rfam:Brachypodium distachyon strain Bd21 chromosome 4, whole genome shotgun sequence.
GAUAUACUCCCUCCGUCUCAUAUUAAGUGACUCAAAUUUGUCAAAAUAUGGAUGUAUCUAUGAUUAAAAAACGUAUAGAUACAUGUAAUAGAAAGUCACUUAAUAUAGGACGGGGGAGUACUUA